rnacentral:misc_RNA from 1 species
GAUGAAGAACGUAGCGAAAUGCGAUAAGUAAUGUGAAUUGCAGAAUUCAGUGAAUCAUCGAAUCUUUGAACGCACAUUGCGCCCGCCAGUAUUCUGGCGGGCAUGCCUGUUCGAGCGUCAUUUCAACCAUCAAGCCCCCGGGCUUGUGUUGGGGACCUGCGGCUGCCGCAGGCCCCGAAAACCAGUGGCGGGCUCGCUGUCACCCCGAGCGUAGUAGUUUACACCUCGCCCAGGGCGUGCCGCGGGUUCCCGGCCGUUAAACCCCCCCAUACCACAAGGUUGACCUCGGAUCAGGUAGGAAGACCCGCUGAACUUAAGCAUAUCAAUAAGCGGAGA